GUUUCUAGAAGUUCAGGUAAAGGCCAUAGACAUUAGUGUUGUGACACAUUGACAUUCAUAUUCUCUUAUUUGCUUCAGAUAACCAUGCUAAGGCAAUUUAGCUUAUCAAUCCCCUAAUCCUUGGACCAUAAGUAUUCUUGGAUAACUUGCACAAACUUAUGCAAUCCCAAGUUAAAAUGAUAACCUCAAGUUUGAUAUCAAGGUAUGUGUAUGCUA
rnacentral:lncRNA from 1 species